rnacentral:rRNA from 1 species
GUCAGCAGCCAUACUACCUGCAGUUCAGAGUAGGUAAUACAUCUGAUGCUAAGCAGGUUUGGGCCUGGCCAGUACUUGGAUGGGAGACCAACUAGGAAAGUGAGUUGCUACUGGAA